GUGCUCACUUCAACAGCACAUAUACUAAAAAUGGAAUGAUCUAGAGAAGAUUAGAAUGGCCCCUGCACAAGGAAGACACAUACAUUUGUGAAGUAUUUCUUAUUAAA